AAAUAAUAAUAAACUUUAAGUAUGCACACAAGGCCAAUCCCGACAACACACACCAUGGGAUAAGAUUCCAUUUUACCUAUGAGCAAGGAUAGAGAAAAAAGAUGUACAAAAUAUAAUAAGGCAUCAUACCAUAACCAUCUGGAAACCUGCAAAUCAAGAACCACAAAAAUCACCACAGAAAAACAAAAUGAUAAGGCCUUGACUGGAAAAAAAAAAAAAACAUCA
rnacentral:misc_RNA from 1 species